rnacentral:rRNA from 1 species
CGCAUGAGACCACGGUGCCGCAUGGUACAGGGGUCAAAGGAGCAAUCCGGUGAAGGGUGAGUUCGCGUCCGAUUAGAUAGUUGGUGAGGUAACGGCCCACCAAGUCGACGAUCGGUAGCCGACCUGAGAGGGUGAUCGGCCACAUUGGGACUGAGACACGGCCCAAACUCCUACGGGAGGCAGCAGUGGGGAAUAUUGGGCAAUGGGGGAAACCCUGACCCAGCAACGCCGCGUGAGGGAAGAAGGUUUUCGGAUCGUAAACCUCUGUCCUAGGUGAAGAGUAAGAGACGGUAGCCUAGGAGGAAGCCCCGGCUAACUACGUGCCAGCAGCCGCGGUAAUACGUAGGGGGCGAGCGUUGUCCGGAAUGAUUGGGCGUAAAGGGCGCGUAGGCGGCCCGGUAAGUCUGGAGUGAAAGUCCUGCUUUUAAGGUGGGAAUUGCUUUGGAUACUGUCGGGCUUGAGUGCAGGAGAGGUAAGUGGAAUUCCCAGUGUAGCGGUGAAAUGCGUAGAGAUUGGGAGGAACACCAGUGGCGAAGGCGACUUACUGGACUGUAACUGACGCUGAGGCGCGAAAGUGUGG